UCUACGGGUGGCAGCAGUGAGGAAUAUUGGUCAAUGGACGCAAGUCUGAACCAGCCAUGCCGCGUGCAGGAUGACGGCUCUAUGAGUUGUAAACUGCUUUUGUACGAGGGUAAACCCCGAUACGUGUAUCGGGUUGAAAGUAUCGUACGAAUAAGGAUCGGCUAACUCCGUGCCAGCAGCCGCGGUAAUACGGGGGAUGCAAGCGUUAUCCGGAUUUAUUGGGUUUAAAGGGUGCGUAGGCUGGGAGGUAAGUCAGCGGUGAAAUGCCCCCGCUCAACGGGGUGAAGUGCCAUUGAUACUGCCUUGCUGGAAUGCGGAUGCCGUGGGAGGAAUGUGUGGUGUAGCGGUGAAAUGCAUAGAUAUCACACAGAACACCGAUUGCGAAGGCAUCUCACGAAUCCGCGAUUGACGCUGAUGCACGAAAGCGUGGGUAUCAAACAGGAUUAGAUACCCGAGUAGUC
rnacentral:rRNA from 1 species